UGGCUGGCGCCGGGGUGCCCCACACGGGGGCUGAGAUCACACCCGCAACACCUGAUCUAGGUCGUGCUAGCGAAGGGAGCAAGAUGAGCCAGGUC
rnacentral:ncRNA from 1 species